rnacentral:lncRNA from 1 species
AUAUAUAUUAAACUGAAUUAUUCUACCAGAACCAGUGCACUUGAUAAGAAAUGUAAUUAUCUAUGUUUGAAAUGUUACAGUUUUAUAUUUUGAAAUCCUGAUUUUAAAAAGGCAGUCAUUUUAGGUCAACUUUAGCCUUGAAUAAGCACGGAUGAAUGGGGCCAUUUCUGGCUUUGAUUUUAAUUCAUAUCAGUCUCUUUUCAUUGUUGGAAAAUAUUCAUUCAUUCAUUCAUUUGACACUGAGGGUUUAUUUAGUACCAGGAACCGUGCAAGUCAUCAUGCAGGAAACUCAAGUUUGCAGAUUCAUAGUUGUCUUCCUUUGAGCUUACUUUUUGUCUUCAUGGCCUUCAUGAGUUGAGUUAGUUAUCCACUUGGCUGUGAGUAGAUCAUCUCUUUAUUGCUCAUUUACAUGUUCAACUCUAUUAGUAGCCUAAAAAAUUGGGAUAAAACAGGUCUAAACUCUAAACUGUUACUCAAAGGAGAAAAGAUAUCCUUUUAUAUUUUUUCUUUUUUCUUUUUUUUUUAAGUGAAGACUAAGUCUGCUUAGGAAAGUGAAAGAAGGCUGGGUAAGGAAGGUGUUAUGAAGUGAAUUGCGUCCUCACCCGCCUCUUAAUUCACAGGUUGGCACCCUAACUUCUAACGUGACUGCAUUUGAGGGUAAGGCUUUUAGGAGGUAAAGUGAUGUGAAGUCAAAGAGUAGCGUCUUCAUCUCAUAAGAUUGGUGGUUUUAUAAGAAGAGGAAGAGACACCAGAGAUGUCUUGCUUCCUCUGUGUGCCUGAACCCAAGGGAGGCCAAACGAACACACAGUGAGAACGCGGCCAUCUCCAAGCCCAGAAAAGAGGUAGCAUCCGAACCAGAUUAUGCUGAUACCCUGGUCUCAGACUUCCAGCCUCCAGAAUGAUAAGCAAUAAAUUUCUGUGGUUUAAGCCCUCCCCGCUCCCUUCCACCCCCCCACCCCUGGUCUGUGGAAUUUUGUUCUGGCUGCCUCAUUUGACUAAUACAGUGGGCCCGAGUCUAAUCUUUGGGUGCAUGCAGGGUUUCCAUGGCCAGUGGGCAUUCUGGCCUGGGAGGUGGGCAGCUGUGUUCCAGAACAGUUCUGCUCUUUGUUGUAGUAAUGUCCAUGAAGUCAGCCACUUCCUGCUCUGGAUUCCACCAUCAGAGUUCCCGGGACAGCCUUUGACGCUGGAGCUAAGCUAACAGCUUGUCCCCGGAUGAACUCUGACCUUGGUCUAUUAACAUCUAUUCAAUCAAUUCAAUCCAGAAGACUGGAUUGAUUGAACUUUGCAAUCUAGAUGCUUGGGAUUUACAGACGGAAGCCCCCUAAGAAAAGAUAAAUGCAGAAUUCAGUUUAUCGGGUCCUACGGCUUCUUUCCAUUCUAUCGGAGGGAAGUUUUCCAUCAGAAGAGGUCAUCAUCCUUUCCCUUUUUGUGUGUCCCGUUAAAUUUCAUAUGUCAACAGGUCUCAGGACAUUUUUAAAAACCCUCAGGUUUGGCUUAAUAUUUGAUGUGACUUUUACACUGCUUAGCUGUAUCCAGCCCUAAAAGCACGGCUUCCAUCUUUCCCUCUGAGUCUCACCUUCUGUACCUCUUUGAUGCUCUAAAAAUGCUCUCUGUGGAUCAAUGGCGAGUACCACCCCUCCAGACACAGAGCUGUGACAGAAAAUCAAUAUGUGGUGUGGACAGUUGAGGAGAACCUUAAAUCAUGUCUUAAAAGAAUCUGCACUCUCAAGUCCCCCUCCCAGCCCCGUAGAGACAGCUGGCAGGGGUCAUACCCACUAACGUGCGUAUUCUUUCUCGGCGUGCAAAAGUUUUGCUAAACCAGCAGAUGGAAACUACAGUCAGCUUCACAAUUAAAAAGCAUUUGGAUUCACAGAUUAUUCUGACACGUCUUCUCCCUCCCAUCCCUAUGGUGAGGAUAUUUAAAAAACAUUGAACUUGACACUUGGCUUAAGUCACACUAAGACCUAACAUGUGCAUCUAUCUUAUUUUCUUUCUAAAAGUGACGCUUAGCAACUUUUACUCGCUGGCAUCAUCUGGUGCCAAGAACAGUGAGAGGACGCAACUGGAAAGCGCCAAGACUUCUUUCUUCUGAUGUCAGAAGAGAAGGGGAAGGGGACCCCCCCCCCCAUCUACUCGCUUCUUGAUAUAGUGUAAAGUAUUGGAAAAUGGCCAUAUGGUAAAGGAUCUAUGGAGGGGCCACAGGCCAAAUGUCUUCAACCCCAAGACACUCCAGAUACCUCUAUCAGCCUUAGGUGCUGACUUUGGCCAGAUACCACCUGCUGUGGAUUUCUCCUGGGUGGGUGGGGUACCCCACAGAGUACACCCUCUGAGGCUUUUCUAGAAUAAAAUUUUUGCUAAGAACACUUUUUUACACCUCCAGAUUAGACACCAGACAGGCAGGUCUUGGAGGACAUACUUUUCACAAUAGUUCUUAUAUCUUGUGUCUGUUAAACCCCCAAACAACCACAAACACAAGGCAGAUGAGAAACUCCAAGGGCACUGAGGUAGCACUGGAGCCCUAUCGCUGUGAGAAUGCCCCAGCUUGGACUGCCUCACUGGCAGCUGCCGAUGGUGUGCAAAGCUGCCUGUGGUUUGCAGUAAUGUGCCACCGAAAUUCAGUUCAUGGGCACUAGGUAGUGAAAAUGAGGUGAGAGAUGUGGUGUGCACCAGAGGCAGAGGCCGUGUGCCACUGCAGAAUAUGAGAGGACAUGGAGGACAGCAGGGCUGAGGAGAUGCAGGCGUUUGCACACGUAGGAGGAAGGCAUGGAUCAGGAUGGCGAGAAGGGGACCUCGGGAAAGGUGCUUCUUUGUUAGCAUGAGUUGAAAAGAGACAAGAGCUGUGGAUGUUUUUCCAACUGAGAAAUUACCAUUAGCAGGAAACAUUAAUAGCUCAUAAUGAUUUAGAGCAGGGGCCUCAGGUCACCAGGACAUUGAAGACAGAGCCCUGAUAUUUCUUUCUGGGGACACUGUGGCCCAGUUUAGGUUCUAGAGCUGCUCUGAUCAAUAUGGCAGCCACUGGCAACGUGUGUCCGGUGAGUCCUUGAAAUGUGGCUGGUGGGAAUUUUGUCAAAUAUACUUUGGAUUUCAAAGACCUAGUGAGAAAAGAGCCUAUUAAAUUAUCUCAAUAAUUUUAAAAAAUAUUGAUUAUAUGCCAUAAUGAUACUAUGUAGGUUAUAUUGGGUUAAUAAAGUACAUCAUUAAAAUUAAUUUCACCACACAUUUCUAGUUAUAAAAUAAAUAUGUCAUAGAGUCUAAUGUACAGCGCGGUGACGAUAGUUAAUACUGUAUUGAAUAUUUGAAAGUUGCUAAGAGAGCAGAUCUUAAAAGUUCUCUCAUCACAAGAAAAAAACGUUGUGACUGUGUGUGGCGACGGAUGUUAGGUAGGCUCAUUGUGGCCGUCAUUCCGCAAUGCGUACAAACGUCAGAGCAUUAUGCCGCUCACCUGAAACUCGUGUGAUGUUCGAUGUCAGUUAUUUCUCAAAAUAAUGAGAUGGUAACGUAAAUAAAAAUGACUUUCACCAAUUUCUCUUUGCUUUUUAAAUUGGAGCUGGAACGCUUACGUUACACAUGUGCUUCACGUUAUUUUUCUACUGGACGGUGCUGCUCAGAGUUUUAUGUAAACAGAUUAAGUUGAACCUCUCUUGUGCAUGAUCACCCUUUAAAACAUUUUAAGAUCCGCCGUUUAAAAAAUGAACAUCAUUCCAGCAAUUACUCUUUAAAUGGUCUGCUUCCAGAGGGCUCACCAAGCCUGCCACCCCAGUGAUCAAACAUCCGUUUGUCAGUGUCGCUCUUGAAUUAUGGUGCCUGGAAUUGCUGUGAUGUCUGAACAUAGCUGAGAAGGUUCUCAGGGCAGGAAAUUGUCCCAGGCACUGGAAUCCACACGGCACAGGCUGAGCUGCUCUGCAUCUAACACCAGGAGUUCCCCGUCCUUCCAGGGCAACUUGACCGGGAGGUGGGCUGAGGUCUGACUCGGAUCUGACCCUCUGCCGACAGAAAGGCAUUUGGGAGACGGAAGCAACUGUCGGCUUAAAAAAGUACACAACCUGAAAGUUUAUUUAAAAAAUUUUUUUUUCUCCUUUUGCUUUUUAGGCCUGAACCCACAGCCUAUGGAGGUUCCCAGGCUAGGGAUCCAAUCGGAGCUGUAGCUGAUGGCCUACACCACAGCCACAGCAGCGCGGGAUCUGAGCCUCAUCUGCGACCUGCACCACGGCUCAGGGCAAUGCCAGAUCCUUAACCCACUGAGCGAGGCCAGGAUCGAACCCGCAACCUCAUGGUUCCUAGUGGGAUUUGUUUUCCCUGCGCCACAACAGGAACUCCAGUCUGAAAGUUUAGAGUCAAGUUUUAUUUGGGGUGAAAUUAGGACUUAAGCCCAGGAGACAGCAUCUCAGGUAGCCCUGAGAAACUGCUCCGAGGAGAUGAGGGGGGAGCUAAGAUGUGAGCUUUUGCAGCAAAGGGAAGGUAGUAGGAACUAAAGGUUUACAGAUAACCAGAUUUAUAGAAAAGAUGAACAGAAACCCCGUUUCCACGGGAAGAUGCAAAGGUCCGGGCUCCCGGGAAUCACUCCUUCGCUGUGCACCUCAGCUGGGGGCCAGUCUUUGUUUCCCUCCUGAGUCCCCCCAGGGCUCAGCGGCCCGCCCUCGGGAGUGGCUGUUCUCACCGAGGACCUGACGACUGACCGUGACAUCUUUUGUCUGGUCCACCUAACCACAGCCCAGGAGGGAGCAUUUCCGACGGCUCUGAAAUAGGGCAGCAAGAGGAGGGGGACCGUCACCAAGGGAACGUCAUGACCGACGCCGCAGAAAGGUGAACGGGAGGCGCCUGCAGCCAGGCGCACCUUUUACAGAAGGUCGCUGCUGGUCUCAUGAAGGUGACUGCUCGUCACACAUCAGUCAUCACUGAGGGGUUUUAGUGUUUUUCUAGAUGUGCGGAGAUGCAAGAAGUGGGCUCAUAAAAUUGUUAUAGGCGUCAAGUCCCCUUCGAGGGGAUGAAACCCCAAAGCCUCUGGCCAUGUCUCCUUGUCGUGCCCCUUCCCCUGCUUUGACCAGCCUGGGCUGCUCUCUCCCUGUUAGAGAAGGAGUGUCGCCCAUUCCUCACCCGGCCACCGUCUAACUUGCUCCUUGUGCACAGAAGGUAUCCUGCCCAAGACCAGUCACAAGAUCAAUUUGGGUCUCCACGGAGAUCUCAUCUCAGUGGGAUAUAAAGACUAUUGCAAAGUGAGUCCGGCCCUCUUUUUAACCUGCAUGAAUAUCAGUCCCCUCUCUCUCUCUCUGAAAAUGUACUUUCACGUUAAUAAAUUUGUGAAACAUCCGCUGUUCCAGUGCUUUGUUACAGUGAGAUGGGGAAGAGGAAACUGUGAUGCUAUCAAAAUCUCCUAAAGAUAUCUAACUAUCUGAAGCCCUGUUCUUCCGGUUCCCCCAGAGCAGAGAGCCUCACUCCCGGUGUCCACCCUGAGCUCUGCUCGGGAUGCUGCAGGUCAGCAGCUGCAGUGGCUCAUGAUCCACGUAGAGGCCGAGGGCAAGUGCCAGACUUCAGUUCACACAAGGAUCCGGUCCCCUUGGCCCUGUUACUGUUGCUGAAAUUUGGCCUCUGUCUGCAGUGCCGAAUUGAAAUGAGGAGACAGGGUUUGGGGUGAAGGGGAAAACAUAGCUUUAUUGCUCUGCCAGGCAAAGGUGGCCACAGCAGACUAACGCCUUAAAGACUGUGCCCCCUUUGGAAGGGAUUAGGAGGUUGUUUUAUAGUUUGAGGAGCAGGAAAUAGGGCAGAAGAUAAGGAUCCGGGGAGAGGCAAGCUUGUGUUGUCUUUCAAAGCCGGUGUUUCAUGGCCCUAGGACUGGUUCUGGUGGUCCUCCUUCUUCCCGGAAUGAAGAUGCUUCAUCAAGUGGUUCUUCCGUUUGUUGGGGGUUUUAUUCUGCAGAAAGGCUCAAAGCUCUUGUUCUGUGUGUUCCUUGAGGAGGAACCAGGACCUGCCCCAAGGCUGCACCAUUGUCUCUUGGCUGCUCCUCCCUGGUCUCUGCAUCCCCUCCCUUCCCAGAUCAGCAACUGCCCUUUGGAACUCAGAGAAGGUCAUGGAGGCUGAAGCUUAUUCCCUAAAAACAAGCAAUGGGGGACACGGAAAGGCUUGUGUGCCCAGGCGCCCCCCGCCCCGGGCGCUAGCUCAGUUACAUUACUCAUACUUCCUUCUGUGUAUCUGCAGGCCUCCAUCUCUCUUCAAUUCUUACAGUGACCUGACUUGUAGACUCAAGCGGACCCUCCCCCACCAACUCCCUGGGAGAGAUGAUUCAUGUAAAUAAUUGCCCCAGUCACAUAAACAAGAGGUGCUGUGUUUUUAACUUCAAGUCCUCCAAAGCUGCGCAGGGCAAGUGCCAUCUUCUCUGUUUUCUGGUCUUUUGAUGGCUCGACAAUUCCCCAUAAACCUCCUCAGCCUAAGCCAUGCAUAAUCUAGAAGGGAUGUCAAUUUGUUUUAGACGAAUAGAAAAUUCAAGCUUUUAAAAUGUUCCAGAGGCUCAUGUUUAUUUACUUGAGGUGUCUGGGUGGAGGGGUUGCGAGAAGGACUGGACAGCUGGUUCUUUAUUGCACUAAAGUCUAACCAUGUCCCAUCACACCCUCUGCUCCACUAAGAGCUAGAGAAACU